UACGUAGGGGCCUAGCGUUGUCCGGAUUUAUUGGGCGUAAAGGGCUCGUAGGCGGCCAACUAAGUCCGACGUGAAAUCCCCAGGCUUAACCUGGGAACUGCGUCGGAUACUGGAUGGCUUGAAUUCGGGAGAGGGAUGCAGAAUUCCAGGUGUAGCGGUGAAAUGCGUAGAUAUCUGGAGGAACACCGGUGGCGAAGGCGGCAUCCUGGACCGACACUGACGCUGAGGAGCGAAAGCCAGGGGAGCAAACGGG
rnacentral:rRNA from 1 species